rnacentral:rRNA from 1 species
UACGUGGGGGUGCGAGCGUUUGUUCGGAAUUACUGGGCGUAAAGCGUGUGCAGGCGGCCUGUUAAGUCCGAUGUGAAAUCCCUGGGCUCAACCCAGGAAUUGCAUUGGAAACUAGCGGGCUGGAGUUCGGGAGAGGGUAGUGGAAUUCCUGGUGUAGAGGUGAAAUUCGUAGAUAUCAGGAGGAACACCGGUGGCGAAGGCGGCUACCUGGACCGAUACUGACGCUGAUACACGAAAGCGUGGGGAGCAA